UACGGAGGGUGCAAGCGUUAUCCGGAUUUACUGGGUUUAAAGGGUGCGGUAGGUGGGUAGGUAAGUCAGUGGUGAAAUCUUCGAGCUUAACUCGGAAACUGCCAUUGAUACUAUUUAUCUUGAAUACUCUGGAGGUAAGCGGAAUAUGUCAUGUAGCGGUGAAAUGCUUAGAUAUGACAUAGAACACCAAUUGCGAAGGCAGCUGGCUACACAAAUAUUGACACUGAGGCACGAAAGCGUGGGGAUCAAACAGG
rnacentral:rRNA from 1 species